CUCGGGAGUGUUUGGUGGUGUGGGGCUGGAGGCAGCUCUGGGGGUUGCGUGGGGCUGGAGGUGUCCCAAGCACAAGGAGGGGCGUAGGGGGUCGUGAGGGCUGGAGGCGUCCUGAGGCUAUGGAGAGACCUCUGGGCGUUGUGGGGGACUGGAAGCGUUCGGAGGCUACGGAGAGACCCCCAGGGGUCGUGCGGGACUGAGGGCGUUCUGCGGGCAGGGAGAGAUCCCCGGGUGUUGUGAGAGGCUGGAAUGUGUGUGUGGCCGCCAUGGGGGAGGUGAGGGUGGUAGAGGCUGAGCCGCUCCCUCAGCGCUGUGAGGGUACGGAGGGGGCUUGGGUCCUGCCGAGGGUCUGUGAGGGUACGGAGGGGGUUUGGGCAGUGCCGAGGGUCUGUGAGGGGAUGCGGGCAGUGCUGUGAGGGUACGGAGGGGGCUGGGACCCUGCCGAGGGUCUGUGAGGGGAUGGGGGCAGCGCUGUGAGGGUACGGAGGGAUUUGGGCCCUGCCGAGGGUCUGUGAGGGGAUGCGGGCAGCGCUGUGAGGGCACGGAGGGGUUUGGGCCCUGCCGAGGGUCUGUGAGGGGAUGCGGGCAGCCGGCCCCGAGCAGGGGCUGUGCGGGCAUGGUCCGCAUGGGAAGCGCUGCUUUGGGUUUCCGCAGAGCCCCAGGGUGUGCAGUGCUUGUUUCCCAGAGAGUUUGGGGUCCCUUGCCGCCCGGACAGGAGAUUGGGGGUCACCUGCUGUUGGUGGGGAAAGGCGAGCUCUGAGGCAGCUGCCCUGGGGGAAAUCCAGCUCUGCUCCAACGCGUCUCGGUGUCUUCUUCCUAAGUGCACCUCUGACUCCCUGCAGAGACCAUGACCGGGGGCUCAGGUGGUGCUGGUGCGAUCCUCAGCUCCUCUCACUUUCCUACAGCUGAUCCGGUUCCAGCUGCUUCCCACAUCUCCAGAUGAUGAAAAAAGAGCUCAUCAGUGGAUCAAGGUGUCAGAGGGGUGCAGCUGGAAAGGUUUCCAAAGGGGGCACUGGGAUGUCCCAGCCUGCAGCUGUCCCUGCUGCUCUUUGGGGAACCACUCCUGGCUGCAGCUGAACAUGGCCCAGGCCUCUCCUUGCCCACAGCCUUUCAGGACAGCUCUAUGGACUUGCUCAGUUUCUAUGAUUCUGUUAUAGCCCAACGUUAGAUGGACCAUCCCAAGGUGCUAGAAGGCUACAAGCCAAGAGUGGACCACAAAAGAAGAGCCCCAGCUGCACUGUGCCUGAAUGAGGAGCUGGAGGAAAGCUGCCCCUCAGGAAGCUGCCAAGAUCUUUGGCCUGUCCAGGGAACUGCUGCUGGCAUGGAG